GAUGAAGAACGCAGCGAAAUGCGAUAAGUAAUGUGAAUUGCAGAAUUCAGUGAAUCAUCGAAUCUUUGAACGCACAUUGCGCCCGCCAGUAUUCUGGCGGGCAUGCCUGUUCGAGCGUCAUUACAACCCUCAGGCCCCCGGGCCUGGCGUUGGGGAUCGGCGGAGCCCCCCGUGGGCACACGCCGUCCCCCAAAUACAGUGGCGGUCCCGCCGCAGCUUCCAUCGCGUAGUAGCUAAAACCUCGCGACUGGAGAGCGGCGCGGCCACGCCGUAAAACACCCAACUCUUCUGAAGUUGACCUCGAAUCAGGUAGGAAUACCCGCUGAACUUAAGCAUAUCAAUAAGCGGAGGA
rnacentral:misc_RNA from 1 species